CCCCUGAACCCUCUCAUUUUCAUCUUUGCGCGCAGACCUCGAAGCUACCUCAAACCCCAGUGCUCUAUCUCCCUUCGCCUCCUCUCCUGGCGACCCAACCUCCUCUCACUCACCCCCUCCUCCCUUUGUGUCUCUCAUCCCUGAAUUGGCCCGGACACUAUCUCGUCCCCAAACUGGCCUUGCCUGUGCUCCUCUCUCCCCAACUGUGUCUCCGUUGCCACCGAAAUCGGCAGCUAAAGGCCAAGCUGCCAAUUUGUUUACUUGAAUCGUCUUUUACAGGCUAGCUCAUUUUUUAUUAUGAUGAUUAUUUUUUUUAAUGGAGUUUUUUAGUUUCCCAGAUCUCGUUUUCUUUGGGUGCUAUUGAUGAUUAUGUAGAUUAACUUUUCUGGUUUUGUUUAAUAUGUUUGUUAAAUUUUGUAUUAACUUUUUUUUUUGCUAUUUAUAAAAUGAUAAAAUGUUCACUAUUUUGAAUGUUAUUAUUUCGUUGCCUUGUAGUUGAGCUUCCUCCAAUGGCUCAAGGAUGGAAGCUCUGCUAAUGACAAUUGAAAAGUUGAUACUUUUCCUAGGAGAGCUCAAGGAGAGGUUUAAUGGGUUUCUGAUUUAUUGGGUCGUUAGAUUAUUCCCUCUUUCAACUCUCAGGUUAAUUCCUCAUCAACAUGACAACAUAAAUCAUUUGACCACAGCUCAACAUAGUUCGGGAUGAAAGGGCAAAAUUUAUUCCGUAUGAAUUCAGUAAACUAAUAAUGCAUUGAAGCUUUGGAACGUUUUUGAGUAGGAAAUACUUAUGUAAUUGCAAUUAAUUUUAGUAUAAAUACAGUACUUUGUUAUAAUACUUAUUCAAUUUAAUACAAGUAUACUUGUUAUA